rnacentral:tRNA from 1 species
GGAACAUUAGCUCAGUUGGUUUAGAGUAUUACCUUGACAGGGUAGGGGUCGUGGGUUCGAAUCCCUCAUGUUCCACAA